rnacentral:rRNA from 1 species
GACGAACGCUGGCGGCGUGCUUAACACAUGCAAGUCGAACGGAAAGGCCCUGCUUUUGUGGGGUGCUCGAGUGGCGAACGGGUGAGUAACACGUGAGUAACCUGCCCUUGACUUUGGGAUAACUUCAGGAAACUGGGGCUAAUACCGGAUAGGAGCUCCUGCUGCAUGGUGGGGGUUGGAAAGUUUCGGCGGUUGGGGAUGGACUCGCGGCUUAUCAGCUUGUUGGUGGGGUAGUGGCUUACCAAGGCUUUGACGGGUAGCCGGCCUGAGAGGGUGACCGGCCACAUUGGGACUGAGAUACGGCCAAGACUCCUACGGGAGGCAGCAGUGGGGAAUAUUGCACGAUGGGCGGAAGCCUGAUGCAGCAACGCCGCGUGCGGGAUGACGGCCUUCGGGUUGUAAACCGCUUUCGCCUGUGACGAAGCGUGAGUGACGGUAAUGGGUAAAGAAGCACCGGCUAACUACGUG